rnacentral:rRNA from 1 species
GAUCAUGGCUCAGGACGAACGCUGGCGGCGUGCCUAACACAUGCAAGUCGAACGGAACUGUUUUGAAAGAUUUCUUCGGAAUGAAUUUGAUUUAGUUUAGUGGCGGACGGGUGAGUAACGCGUGAGUAACCUGCCUUCAAGAGGGGGAUAACAUUCUGAAAAGAAUGCUAAUACCGCAUGACAUAUCGGAAUCACAUGAUUCUGAUAUCAAAGAUUUUAUCG